UACGGGGGGAGCAAGCGUUGUUCGGAUUUACUGGGCGUAAAGGGCGCGUAGGCGGCCAGCACAAGUCAGUUGUGAAAUCUCCGAGCUUAACUCGGAAAGGUCAACUGAUACUGUGCGGCUAGAGUGCGGAAGGGGCAACUGGAAUUCUUGGUGUAGCGGUGAAAUGCGUAGAUAUCAAGAGGAACACCUGCGGCGAAGGCGGCUAUCUGGUCCAAUUCUGACGCUGAGGCGCGAAAGGUAGGGGAGCAAACAGG
rnacentral:rRNA from 1 species